rnacentral:rRNA from 1 species
AACGAACGCUGGCGGCGCGCCUAAUACAUGCAAGUCGAGCGAGAAGACGUAGCAAUACGUUUGUAAAGCGGCGAACGGGUGAGGAAUACAUGGGUAACCUACCCUCGAGCGGGGAAUAACUAGCCGAAAGGUUAGCUAAUACCGCGUACGCUCCUUGGACUUCGGUUCAGGGAGGAAAGCGAUACCGUGGGUAUCGCGCUCUUGGAUGGGCUCAUGUCCUAUCAGCUUGUUGGUGAGGUAACGGCUCACCAAGGCUUCGACGGGUAGCUGGUCUGAGAGGACAAUCAGCCACACUGGCACUGCGACACGGGCCAGACUCCUACGGGAGGCAGCAGUAAGGAAUAUUGCGCAAUGGGCGAAAGCCUGACGCAGCGACGCCGCGUGGGGGAUGAAGGUCUUCGGAUUGUAAACCCCUUUCGGGAGGGAAGAUGGAACGAGCAAUCGUUCGGACGGUACCUCCAGAAGCAGCCACGGCUAACUUCGUGCCAGCAGCCGCAGUAAU